UUCCUGCUAACGUGAAUGGGUGUGAAUCUAGUUCUUCACAUUUUCUAUUGUGACUAGAUCCACACUCAUUAACGUUGGUGUGGA
rfam:Anopheles dirus strain WRAIR2 unplaced genomic scaffold supercont1.12, whole genome shotgun sequence.